GGCCCCUUAGCUCAGUGGUUAGAGCGGGCGCCUCAUAAGCGCUAGGUCACCGGUUCAAACCCGGUAGGGGCCACCA
rnacentral:tRNA from 1 species